rnacentral:rRNA from 1 species
AUCGAAUCUUUGAACGCACAUUGCGCCCCUUGGUAUUCCAUGGGGCAUGCCUGUUCGAGCGUCAUUUGUACUCUCAAGCUAACUUUCUUGGUGUUGGGUGUUUCGUCCACUCCCUCGUGUUUGGACUCGCCUUAAAACAAUUGGCAGCCAG